ensembl:snRNA U2 U2 spliceosomal RNA
AUCACUUCUCGGCCUUUUGGCUAAGAUCAAGUGUAGUAUCAAGUGAACUGGUCUUCCACAUUGUCGAACAAUU